GCCUUCGUGGUGUAAUAACAGCGCACUCGGCGCAUAUUCGAGAGGUCCAGGUUCGAGUCCCGGCAAGGGCA
rnacentral:tRNA from 1 species